CACCGGUCAGUCCAGACGUAUCAAGAUGAUCUCACAGGCUCAGCUCAUCUGGCUGCUAGUGCUCUGGAUCCAGGACUCCAGUGGGCAGAUCGUGCUGACUCAGACUCCAGAAUCCCUGGCAGUGUCUCCUGGAGACAGAGUCACCAUCAACUGCAAAGCCAGUUCCAGCACUGGCAACAACUUAGCCUGGUACCAACAGAAAUCAGGACAAGCUCCUAAGCUUCUCAUCCACAGCGCUUCCACCCGUCCCUCUGGGAUCCCAGACCGGUUCAGUGGCAGUGGCUCUGGGAGCGGCUACACCGAUUACACUCUCACUAUCAGCAGCGUAGAAGCUGAAGAUGCUGGAGAUUAUUACUGUCAGCAGGGUAAUAGCUUCCCUCUCACAGUGAUAUAG